rnacentral:misc_RNA from 1 species
UCUCCGUUGGUGAACCAGCGGAGGGAUCAUUACAGAGUUGCAAAACUCCCAACCCUUUGUGAACGAACCUGACAGUUGCUUCGGCAGAAGGCCCUUCACUGGGCAGCCCGCCGGAGGGUCUCCAAACUCUUGUUUUUUUAGGCAUCUCUGAGUGACACAUAAACAAAUAAAUAAAAACUUUCAACAACGGAUCUCUUGGUUCUG